CCUCACCCGACUCCUCGCGCCGACGCUUCUCCCCAAAACCGUAAGCGGUGGUUUCUUUCCUCUCCUCUCGCGAUUGAAACCCAAGCCGAUCCCUUCCUUUUCUCAUUCUCGUCCCCGAGCCAAUUUCCCUCCUCUGCCCUAGCGUCGUCCUCCUUCCUUUUCUCCGACGUCGACGACGCCGCGGGGCAGAUCACCGGCGAUUUGAACCCCGACUCUCCAGAUCCCGUGCCCCUCUCCUCUACCGAUCCCCACAUCUUCUCCUCACGCCAACAACCGACGCUGCUGGAUCGGGCCAGAUCUAGUGAUCGCCGGCGGGAAGAAGGGUUCUUAGGAUUCUGAAGGUGAACGACACAGUGAGUUCCAGCAGGGAGGUUCUUGGUUGUGGAUUGAUCUUUUCUUCCUGAUCUUUCUUGAUCCAGGCAGUGAAGGGGUGUUCCACAGCUACUUACUUUGUUUCUAGCAACCGACAGCAAUUUCGGCCACAAAUCUUGAUCCAGCAGUAACAAGAUUGAUGCUAUCUAGAGAGUUCCAGUCGCUAGUCCCCUGCAGUCCACGAGGAUGUUUAUUUGUCUUUUGGUGUCUUUUACUAGACUAUGUUGAGACUUGUUUUAUGAUGAUACACUUGGGUCUUAUAUGGACAUUGUCGAUGAGUUUUUAUUUGGAUUUGUUUUACUACAUG